GGAGAAACGCUGGCAGGCGUGCCCUAACACAGCAAAGUCGAGCGAUUUUUUUUGGAAGAGAGCGGCGGACGGGUGAGUAAACGCGUGGGUAACCUGCCCUCAUACACAUGGAUAACAUACCGAAAGGUAUGUUAAUACAAGAUGAUAUAAGAGAUUCGCAUGGAUUUCUUAUCAAAGCUCCGGCGGUAUGAGAUGGACCCGCGUCUGAUUAGCUAGUUGGUAAGGUAACGGCUUACCAAGGCGACGAUCAGUAGCCGACCUGAGAGGGUGAUCGGCCACAUUGGAACUGAGACACGGUCCAAACUCCUACGGGAGGCAGCAGUGGGGAAUAUUGCACAAUGGGCGAAAGCCUGAUGCAGCAACGCCGCGUGAGCGAUGAAGGCCUUCGGGUCGUAAAGCUCUGUCCUCAAGGAAGAUAAUGACGGUACUUGAGGAGGAAGCCCCGGCUAACUACGUGCCAGCAGCCGCGGUAAUACGUAGGGGGCUAGCGUUAUCCGGAUUUACUGGGCGUAAAGGGUGCGUAGGUGGUUUCUUAAGUCAGGAGUGAAAGGCUACGGCUCAACCGUAGUAAGCUCUUGAAACUGGGAAACUUGAGUGCAGGAGAGGAAAGUGGAAUUCUUAGUGUAGCGGCGAAAUGCGUAGAUAUUAGGAGGAACACCAGUAGCGAAGGCGGCUUUCUGGACUGUAACUGACACUGAGGCACGAAAGCGUGGGGAGCAAACAGGAUUAGAUACCCUGGUAGUCCACGCCGUAAACGAUGAGUACAUAGGUGUCGGGGGUUACCCCCCUCGGGCCGCAGCUAACGCAU
rnacentral:rRNA from 1 species